AUAAUUUUAAUAUUUGAAAGGUGCUCACUGUCUCUGGCAUUGGCUUAAGCGUGCUGCAUGUCUUGUUCUCUUGGAGGUUCUACUAAGACUGUCAAUGUUAGGCAUUGCAACAUCUAAAAAAUUAGAUGCCUGGCCCUGGCAUAGUUACUCAGAGCAUGAAAGUAAGGGACUCAGCUUUCUUAUACUGCCAGUGAAGAAAGAUGGGACUGCUUAAAGGUGAUUCUGGCUUCAUUACUGUCAUGUUAGCUUGCAUCCAACAGGAUACACAAAGCCCUAGCUAUCCAAUUAUCAGUGCUUACUCAUGUAUAUGAUUACUCUGUAGCUUCUUCUGGAAUGAUUUUGGACCUUUCUGGAGAAGCUUGGACUAGGGUGUGUGAGGAUGUUGGGUUGUACUCAAGUUCUACCCCUUUAAGCAGGAUUCAUGCUGCUACUUUCACCUGGCUUGAACAAGCCUUCUUUCAGUCCUACCAGGGUGUUCCAGCAGCUGUUGUGGUCUCGCGUGUCUCACCUGUGUUUCAUUUGUAAAACAUCCCAUCUCACACUCAAUGUUCUCCUGCAAAAUGCUUCACGCAGUGGGCUGUGCAAUAGCUCUUCGCUUUCUGGUGGUCAAAAACUGGAAAAACACACUUCAAUGGCAAUGCAGGUUUGCUUUUGAUAAGCUGUAUUAUGGGACCAUCUGCUGGGAUGUGAUCUUAUCUAGACACUUCAGGGCAUUGUUGAAACCACCCAUUUACAUUUCUAAGACUCCAAAACAGCCCGUCUCAAAAUCCAGGACUGCAUCUGACUUUCUGGAACAGCUUACCAUGCCAUACUUUUUCAUGAGAACUUAAAUGAAACCUGUGGCAGAAGGGGCCCUGAGCAUUUAGUAGUAUGCCAUGUCCUUUUCCAGGACUGAGGCUGCUGUAACAAAAUUGAAGGAGGUGCUCUAGAGCCAGGCCUCUAUGGCUGUGGUUGCUCCAGAUGCCAGGUCUGCCAAGGAAGGGCCUUCCUUCCAGCUAGACCCAAUGCUCCUUAAGAAUUACGGGCUGGUGACUAUCUGCAGAAGUUCAGCUACCCAACAGUAUGCUCUGGGACCGCCCAGACUUUUGUCACAGCCAAGGUGCAGAGCUCUGACACAUCUGAGUGGGGACAUCAACCCAAUCAAGAGUGGACCGGAUGCUACUCUGUCAUUGGUUACCUCACUGAAGAUACUGGCAAGACUUUUGGGUUGAAAUGAGAGCCCUGGCUAAGAGGAGCAUGAACUUGCUUAGAGGACCUCCAGGACUGUGCAGAGGCGCGGCAAGUGGCACAACGUAAUUAAUGCUCCACUGGCAGUUUCUGGAGCAUGAAUCCUGCGAAAGGGAGAUGGACAGACAGCUCCUAUUGGAGCAUUUUGGCUCUAGGUCCUUCCCACUGCCCAACCAGCAGUCGCUGAACCAACUUCUACUAAUGAUGGGGGUAGGAGGCCACCUUGAGUGCUCCCCUUCUCUUCUCCUCCCCUCAGAUGAUCAAGAAGAGAACAGCUUGGCCUACAAAAGGCAGGAGCAGAAAAACAGCUUGCCUCUGUCUCUAGUGCCUUUGGAUGACUUAGGUCAGGAAGUGCAGUGCAGAGAAUGAGGAUGGAGAAAUCUACUGAGGAAAGAUGCUGAGAAGGGGACACUUCAUGGAAAUUUAGGUCCCAGCUCACUUAAAUUCAUGUUGUUGAUUUGCUCUGCUAAGGGAAAAGCAUGUUGGGCUUCAUUUCCUCCAAAAUAUAUUUCCUAAUCUCCUGAGGAAAUCUCUUUGGCCUAUAUUGGCCCCGUCUUUACUGUUCUCCCUAUUGCAUGCUGGCAUGUAAUAUGCCUGGGACUUUAGGUUUCAUAACUGCUUGUAGGUCAAGACUGGCCAUAUUUUGCAGUGUUUCUGAAGGAAUAAAUAUAUUUAGUAUGUUAAA